rnacentral:rRNA from 1 species
UACGAAGGGGGCUAGCGUUGCUCGGAAUUACUGGGCGUAAAGGGCGCGUAGGCGGCACUGUUAGUCAGGCGUGAAGUUCCUGGGCUCAACCUGGGGACUGCGCUUGAUACGGCAGAGCUAGAGGAUGGAAGAGGCUCGCGGAAUUCCCAGUGUAGAGGUGAAAUUCGUAGAUAUUGGGAAGAACACCGGUGGCGAAGGCGGCGAGCUGGUCCAUUACUGACGCUGAGGCGCGACAGCGUGGGGAGCAAACAGG